rnacentral:rRNA from 1 species
GCUUACGGCCACACCACCCUGAGCACACCCGCUCUCGUCUGAUCUCGGAAGCCAAGCAGGGUCGGGCCUGGUUAGUACUUGGAUGGGAGACCGCCUGGGAAUACCAGGUGAUGUAAGCAU